UGCGUUUUGAUAAGCGUUCCUUGC
rnacentral:siRNA from 1 species